UACGUAGGGGGCAAGCGUUGUCCGGAAUCAUUGGGCGUAAAGCGCGUGUAGGCGGCUCGGUAAGUCCGCUCUGAAAGUCCAGGGCUCAACCCUGGGAUGCGGGUGGAUACUGCCGAGCUCGAGUCCGGAAGAGGCGAGUGGAAUUCCUGGUGUAGCGGUGAAAUGCGCAGAUAUCAGGAAGAACACCAAUGGCGAAAGCAGCUCUCUGGGACGGUACUGACGCUGAGACGCGAAAGCGUGGGGAGCGAACAGG
rnacentral:rRNA from 1 species